UAGAAGAAACCAAUAAACACCCAAAAUAAAACCCAUCAAAUCCGUUUGGAAAGAUAAUUGAUUUAGGGUUUUUGCACAAGAUGGAUCUAAUCUCUCUAUAUAUCGAUCACCUACAGUUUUUGUAUUUCCACUGCGCAUCGCAAUAUUUCGAUCCUUUCUUCUAGAGUGAGCCUUUCAAAGACUCCAAUUUGUCCACAUGUCAAGCGCUGAACCUAUAUUCUCACUUUAAAUUGCUGCUGAUAACUGAUAAGUGUGGUUGUAUACAAAGAAACCAACGAGGCAUUAUGUUAUUGUCGUUUGUUUUUCAUUUUGUUUUUGCAUAUUCUGAUAGUGAAGGAAAUUCUGACUCGCGAGCAGCCAAUACAUGAGUUGUAUGCAAACGUUAAUAUAGUUGGGCAUGGAAUCUUGAAAUCUGAUCUGGACCUUACUUGUGCCAUUGCUAGCCGUAGGUUUAGGUCAUUGGGAAAAUGUUUUGGAGUAACCGGCCCAUUUUGGGAAAACGUCAAACAUGACUCCCUGGACUACUUUGAGGGCCCGUAACUUCCAAAUGGUGUACAUGCAAAAAAAAUUGCCGCUUUUCGAGUGAGGUUCAAUUUUAUUGACAAUUUUCUUUCAAGCUCUAGAUGAGGAGAUUAAAAUUCAUGAAGGAAGUAGUUGAGGUUGUUGCUGAAUCUUAUAAACAUAAGGAGAUGCUGGACCGAUUGCAUUUGAAGAACAUGGUUGGACCUCCCAAGGUGGUUGAGAAAGAUAUACUUUCCCUUUUGUUGGAUAUCUUCGACACUGUAGACUUAUUCCAUCUAUUUCUAUCAGAGCUACAUUAUGACCGUUAAGUGCGUCUUGAUUACAUCAUCUCAAAAGUCGAUGGAACCCAUUGCGCUGAAUAUAUUUAAAGGCACAAUAUCAUCAUUUUACUUUACUCAAAGAACUAGGGAACUUUCUACUUUUAAAUACUUUGGAUAUUGUAUAGUUCAUUAUAGUUAAUUUAAACUAAAUGACCCUUAAAAGUUCGAUUGGGAUUUGGUAUAUUAUAUUGUCAUAAUCAUAAUGGGUUUGGGAUCCUAUAGAUAGCUUCUGUAAAAUCUUCUUGUGUAUGUAGUAUUUUGGAGUAUAGGAGUGUAUGUUUAUCGUUAAGUGUCUCAUUAUGAAGUUUUUCCUUUUUGUUGGUGAAUAGUA